CGAACGCUGGCGGCGUGCCUAAUACAUGCAAGUCGAACGCUUCUUUCCUCCCGAGUGCUUGCACUCAAUUGGAAAGAGGAGUGGCGGACGGGUGAGUAACACGUGGGUAACCUACCCAUCAGAGGGGGAUAACACUUGGAAACAGGUGCUAAUACCGCAUAACAGUUUAUGCCGCAUGGCAUAAGAGUGAAAGGCGCUUUCGGGUGUCGCUGAUGGAUGGACCCGCGGUGCAUUAGCUAGUUGGUGAGGUAACGGCUCACCAAGGCUACGAUGCAUAGCCGACCUGAGAGGGUGAUCGGCCACACUGGGACUGAGACACGGCCCAGACUCCUACGGGAGGCAGCAGUAGGGAAUCUUCGGCAAUGGACGAAAGUCUGACCGAGCAACGCCGCGUGAGUGAAGAAGGUUUUCGGAUCGUAAAACUCUGUUGUUAGAGAAGAACAAGGACGUUAGUAACUGAACGUCCCCUGACGGUAUCUAACCAGAAAGCCACGGCUAACUACGUG
rnacentral:rRNA from 1 species